CUCCGGUGCAUAUUGUGUGUUUGAGUGAAGUUGUGAUUAAUAAAUACUGCAUAAUGGAUCCCUCCGUGUCAGUCUCCUCGUUACACAGUAAUUAUGGAUUUUGUCUUGUCUUGUUAUUAAAAGCUAUGGGCACAGAUUUGCUUUCUGGACUGAGGAGGCAAGAAGUGUCUUGGAUGGAAAGAUUCUGCUCCUUUUUAGGGUGAAAAGAAAAACCACAUCCAAUCUUCCGGCACAUGUCCAAGCAGUUCAAGAUCGGGAAAGGAAUGACAAAAGAUUAGUGGACUUGAUUAUCACAUCAAAAUCAGCAGAGCAGCAUUUGGUGGAUAUACUCGGUGGGAAAAGGUCAAAUUGGUUUCCACUAAAACCCCGUUCUCAAGUGGCUGUCUACAUUGAGAAUGAGCAGUCCCAGUCAAUCAUUUGUGACUACAUCAGAGGGAUUCUUAAUAAAACCAAAACACAGCUGACCUUCAAUGAUGAGGUGGAGUUCAUUUGUGGAUGUCUCCUCCCAGAGGCCAUAACUCAUGGCAUUUCCGAGUUACAAGGCUUGUCUUGGCAGGAGGCUGAAGAUGUCUUCCUCCAGGGCCCCAUUUAUCACGCAAGUGAAGUUGAGGAAUUUAACAGAAGAAUUGCUCGAGAAAUGAAAAAUCUUCCUAACAAGAAUGUAAAGCAUUUUAUUUUAUUUUAUAUGUAAUAAAUACAUUAUUAAUCCAAGUAUUGUUUUUCACAAUUUUUCUCUGCAUUUUUUACAGCUCGAUGACUUGUAGGACCUCAUGAAAAUUUAUAAAAAAAUAAAGUUUGGUGUGAGAAAAUUACUCCGAGUACUAUCAUUUAUUCUGUGAAUAAUAAGAUAAUGUUCAUUCCCUCAACUCAAUACUAAAGAGUUUGAUAAAUCCUUAAUGAUUUAAAAACAAAAAACAACAACAAAAACAAUAAAUGACUGAAAAUAUUUAAGUAACUGAACAAUAUCUAU